rfam:Anolis carolinensis chromosome 2, whole genome shotgun sequence.
AUAUAGAAGCAUAACUACUUUGAAGGCAUCAGAUCCCACCUUAGAAGCUAAGCAUCAGAUCUUAGAAGCUAAGCAGGCUCAGCCCUGGUUAGUACUUAGAUGGAAGGCUACCAAUGAAUAUCAGGUGCUGUAGGCU